rnacentral:rRNA from 1 species
CUACGGUGCUGAAGCAACAAAUGCCCUGCUUCCAGGAAAAGCCUCUAAGCAUCAGGUAACAUCAAAUCGUACCCCAAACCGACACAGGUGGUCAGGUAGAGAAUACCAAGGCGCUUGAGAGAACUCGGGUGAAGGAACUAGGCAAAAUGGUGCCGUAACUUCGGGAGAAGGCACGCUGAUAUGUAGGUGAAGUCCCUCGCGGAUGGAGCUGAAAUCAGUCGAAGAUACCAGCUGGCUGCAACUGUUUAUUAAAAACACAGCACUGUGCAAACACGAAAGUGGACGUAUACGGUGUGACGCCUGCCCGGUGCCGGAAGGUUAAUUGAUGGGGUCAGCGCAAGCGAAGCUCUUGAUCGAAGCCCCGGUAAACGGCGGCCGUAACUAUAACGGUCCUAAGGUAGCGAAAUUCCUUGUCGGGUAAGUUCCGACCUGCACGAAUGGCGUAAUGAUGGCCAGGCUGUCUCCACCCGAGACUCAGUGAAAUUGAACUCGCUGUGAAGAUGCAGUGUACCCGCGGCAAGACGGAAAGACCCCGUGAACCUUUACUAUAGCUUGACACUGAACAUUGAGCCUUGAUGUGUAGGAUAGGUGGGAGGCUUUGAAGUGUGGACGCCAGUCUGCAUGGAGCCGACCUUGAAAUACCACCCUUUAAUGUUUGAUGUUCUAACGUUGACCCGUAAUCCGGGUUGCGGACAGUGUCUGGUGGGUAGUUUGACUGGGGCGGUCUCCUCCUAAAGAGUAACGGAGGAGCACGAAGGUUGGCUAAUCCUGGUCGGACAUCAGGAGGUUAGUGCAAUGGCAUAAGCCAGCUUGACUGCGAGCGUGACGGCGCGAGCAGGUGCGAAAGCAGGUCAUAGUGAUCCGGUGGUUCUGAAUGGAAGGGCCAUCGCUCAACGGAUAAAAGGUACUCCGGGGAUAACAGGCUGAUACCGCCCAAGAGUUCAUAUCGACGGCGGUGUUUGGCACCUCGAUGUCGGCUCAUCACAUCCUGGGGCUGAAGUAGGUCCCAAGGGUAUGGCUGUUCGCCAUUUAAAGUGGUACGCGAGCUGGGUUUAGAACGUCGUGAGACAGUUCGGUCCCUAUCUGCCGUGGGCGCUGGAGAACUGAGGGGGGCUGCUCCUAGUACGAGAGGACCGGAGUGGACGCAUCACUGGUGUUCGGGUUGUCAUGCCAAUGGCACUGCCCGGUAGCUAAAUGCGGAAGAGAUAAGUGCUGAAAGCAUCUAAGCACGAAACUUGCCCCGAGAUGAGUUCUCCCUGACUCCUUGAGAGUCCUGAAGGAACGUUGAAG